rnacentral:rRNA from 1 species
UACGGGGGGGCAAGCGUUGUUCGGAAUUACUGGGCGUAAAGGGCGCGUAGGCGGUCAGAUAAGUCAGCUGUGAAAACCUCGGGCUUAACCCGAGGCCUGCAGUUGAAACUGUUUGGCUAGAGUGUGGGAGAGGAGAGUGGAAUUCCCGGUGUAGCGGUGAAAUGCGUAGAUAUCAGGAGGAACACCAAUGGCGAAGGCAGCUCGCUGGGACGUGACUGACGCUGAGACGCGAAAGCGUGGGGAGCAAACAGG